rnacentral:rRNA from 1 species
CUAAGGCUCCAGAGGAAGCCACGGCUAACUCUGUGCCAGCAGCCGCGGUAAUACAGAGGCGGCAAGCGUUGUUCGGAAUUAUUGGGCGUAAAGAGCACGUAGGCGGCCUUGCAAGUCAGUUGUGAAAGCCUUCCGCUUAACGGAAGAAUGCCAGCUGAUACUACAGGGCUUGAGUACGGGAGGGGAGAGUGGAACUUCUGGUGGAGCGGUGAAAUGCGUAGAUAUCAGAAGGAACGCCGGCGGCGAAAGCGGCUCUCUGGCCCGAAACUGGCGCUGAGUGUGCGAAAGCUAGGGGAGCAAACGGGAUUAGAUACCCCGGUAGUCCUAGCCGUAAA